GGUAAGAUAUUGAUUUUUAUUAAAAACAAUAUGGAAAAUACUAAAUAUAUCCUAACCGUUAGAUCUAAUAGUGUUUAGAUCUGAACCGUUGAUUUAAUAGGAUACAAUAGGGCUUACCACACCCAAUUAAAACCCAAAUCAAUCUCAGCCCUUAAAACAAUUUUCCCUUAGAUCCAGUGGCGCCACGUCACCCAGUGUACCAAGCUCUCGGUGCACCACGUCACACC
rnacentral:lncRNA from 1 species